AGUGAACGCUGGCGGUAGGCCUAACACAUGCCAGUCGAACGGCAGCACAGUAAGAGCUUGCUCUUACGGGUGGCGAGUGGCGGACGGGUGGGGAAUAAAUCGGAAUCUACUUUUUCGUGGGGGAUAACGUAGGGAAACUUACGCUAAUACCGCAUACGACCUACGGGUGAAAGCAGUGGAUCUUCGGACCUUGCGCGAUUGAAUUAGCCGAUGUCGGAUUAGUUAGUUGGCGGGGUAAAGGCCCAACAAGGCGACGGUACGUAGCUGGUAUGGGAGGAUGGGCAGCCACCCUGAGACUGAGACACGGCACAAAGUCCUUGGGAAGGCGGCAGUGGGGAAUAUUGAAGCAUGGGCGCAAGACUGAUCACGCCAUACCGAGUGGGUGAAGAAGGCAUUCGGGUUGUAAAACGAUUUUGUUCGGAAAGAAAAGCAGCAGGUUAAUACCCCGCUGUUCUGACGGUACCAACAGAAUAAGCACCGGCUAACUUCGUG
rnacentral:rRNA from 1 species